CUGAACUGCUUAAAGUGGCAUGUUGUAGGGGAGUGACAGCUGUGAGGGCACACCUGGAGCAGGUUAGAGCAGAGCUUUGAUCCACUGCCGCUCCUGCACCACCCACACACAUACGCAGAGCUGGUAAAGUCACGUGAAAAGUCAAAGCCACAGCUUUGGAUAUUUUGUGUUAAACUACAAACGUAAAAACUUGUCGUGCGGUUUUGGCUGUUCGUUUACACGACAACGGCGGGUUUGGGGCCUGAAAACGCCAACUUUUAAAAACGGGUUUCAGAGUGCAAGAUUUUGAGAACGAUGCCGUUACCGUCUCCGGGUAAAGGAUGACGUCAUGCGUACGUGUGUUCAGUCUAUAGGGAGGCGUGAGAGUACUUCAAAAACAACACGCGAGACUUUCAAAACAGGACUGUGUUUGUGCUUCUCAAGAUUUUGAGUUUAUUGACGCUUCUCCAGCAAAGUGUAGAUUUACUGCAUCACUACUACAACCGACAAAGUGUAGAUUUACUGCAUCACUACAACAACCGACAAAGUGUAGAUUGACUGCAUCACUACUACAACCGACAAAGUGUAGAUUUACUGCAUCACUACUACAACCGACAAAGUGUAGAUUUACUGCAUCACUACUACAACCGACAAAGUGUAGAUUUACUGCAUCACUACUACAACCAACAAAGUGUAGAUUUACUGCAUCACUACUACAACCAAAGUGUAGAUUUACUGCAUCACUACUACAACCGACAAAGUUUAGAUUUACUGCAUCACUACAACAACAACCAGCAAAGUGUAGAUUUACUGCAUCACUACAACAACAACCAGCAAAGUGUAGAUUUACUGCAUCACUACUACAACCGACAAAGUGUAGAUUUACUGCAUCACUACUACAACCGACAAAGUGUAGAUUUACUGCAUCACUACUACAACCGACAAAGUGUAGAUUUACUGCAUCACUACUACAACCGACAAAGUGUAGAUUUACUGCAUCACUACUACAACCGACAAAGUGUAGAUUUACUGCAUCACUACUACAACCGACAAAGUGUAGAUUUACUGCAUCACUACUACAACCAAAGUGUAGAUUUACUGCAUCACUACUACAACCGACAAAGUGUAGAUUUACUGCAUCACUACUACAACCGACAAAGUUUAGAUUUACUGCAUCACUACAACAACAACCAGCAAAGUGUAGAUUUACUGCAUCACUACUACAACCGACAAAGUGUAGAUUUACUGCAUCACUACUACAACCAAAGUGUAGAUUUACUGCAUCACUACUACAACCGACAAAGUGUAGAUUUACUGCAUCACUACUACAACCGACAAAGUGUAGAUUUACUGCAUCACUACUACAACCGACAAAGUGUAGAUUUACUGCAUCACUACUACAACCGACAAAGUGUAGAUUUACUGCAUCACUACUACAACCAAAGUCAAAGUGUAGAUUUACUGCAUCACUACUACAACCAACAAAGUGUAGAUUUACUGCAUCACUACUACAACCAACAAAGUGUAGAUUUACUGCAUCACUACUACAACCGACAAAGUGUAGAUUUACUGCAUCACUACUACAACCAACAAAGUGUAGAUUUACUGCAUCACUACUACAACCGGCGGAGACGCAUUUGUUCCAUACGCCACAUUAUUAACCCCCGUCUACACCGACGAGGGGCAUUCAAAAUCUUAUCAUCAUCUUUGUAAUUGUCUGUUUUAGAGUAUAGCUGUAUCCUUUUACUGCUAAUAAAAUAUAGAAAGCAGACUGAUUGCCAGUGUCUCACUAUUUGAUUUGUAUUUGCCAAUUUUGUUCCAUUUUGGUCCCGUGAUGAACUAUUAGUAUGUACAAAUGCACUAUUUAGAUGUUUUUUGUCCUUCAGUAUUUAAAAACGAACAAGCUCUGUGAACAGAAUGCUGACCUGGAGCACGAGAAACGCUCAAAGAUGGGGUUGAAGACAGAAAAAUCCAUUUUCGCAAUCAAAAAAACCUUUAUGUACAUUAAAUUAUAUUCCAUUAGAGACGUAAAGAAAAAUAAGACAAAUCCAUGCUUGACAAGCGUGAGUUUUCACCAUUCCUUAUGACAAUGAAUAGCCUAACUAUCGAGAUUCUAAGUAACUGGAGACGGAACGUUUUUGUACUCCACGUAGAUCAUAAACUAUUGAAAUCCUUUGAGAAAUGUAAACGUUAUUGCGCUUUUUUAUCCAGAAAACCCACAGCUCCCAUGUUUACUUCUAUUUGUUUAUAGGGCAGUCUCGCCCGGAUUAAUAUGGCAGACAUGUUGAAGUGAAUGCUUAUGUGCGCAGGCGCGUAGUCUUUCUUUACAAAGUGACAUCGCCAACUACUGGCCUGGCAUGCGUAACACAGCGUUUUUAGUCGUAUUCGCGGAUCCGUGUGAACGGGGAUUGUUUCGACAGCGUUGUCGUCUGUACGUGAAACGUUUCAAACACGAAUAAAGGAAAACCGUUUUUAGUACGUCGUUGUCGUGUAAACAUUCCCCAAGAUUACACAUGACCGCUUACCAGAAAUCUUUUUCACACAAUCAGCCUAAGCCAAGCCAGAUAGCUAACUAAUUAAUGAUGAAAAAGUUUAGAUUGUUGUGGAACAUCCUGUUAAAUAAAUUGCUGUAAAGAUGACGAAUAUACACUGAAAUCCCUACACAGAUUUCCCAGCUAUUUAUGAAGGCGGGAGGUGCUUCCAACCUCUAAGACUCUGGCAAACCCUUUAUUAAAAAAAAAAAAAGAGUAAACUUUUAAAUCGACAUUAAAACCAUAAAUAAUUCUAAUUGGUUUACAAGCUCAUGGGGAAAGGAAACUCAUACCUAAGCUGAUGCCAGAGGGUGCGAGUAUUCAAGCAGACAACUUUGCAGGUGUUCAAGCAGGAACAUGUGCAGAUGCACUUUUGUGGUUGAAUGGGGGGAAAGAAAGAAAAAAGAAGAAGAAGAAAAAAGGAAAGCAUAAAAUAGGAGCUAUCAUUUAUAUACGCAGUGCAGUCUGUAAUUAACUGGACAAUGAUUUUGUAUUUCAGAUUUGAAAUAGAAUGAUGACUAUGGAGUCCUGUUCAAUUAAAGAGUAUUCACAAGGUGAGGAGUAAAACAUGACAGGGCCUGCUGUUAUAGGAAAUUAAAAGUACAACAAAUGAAACUUAAUAAUGGCACAGUGUUUGCGUGAUCCAUUCUGGCCUUUGGAGGAGUUUAACAAAACAAAAGCUGUGCAUUAGGACGUAACAAAAACAAACAAGG
ensembl:lncRNA